rnacentral:miRNA from 1 species
UCACUGGGAGAGUGAUGAUUGC